GACGAACGCUGGCGGCGUGCUUAACACAUGCAAGUCGAACGGAAAGGCCCUGCUUUUGUGGGGUGCUCGAGUGGCGAACGGGUGAGUAACACGUGAGUAACCUGCCCUUGACUUUGGGAUAACUUCAGGAAACUGGGGCUAAUACCGGAUAGGAGCUCCUGCUGCAUGGUGGGGGUUGGAAAGUUUCGGCGGUUGGGGAUGGACUCGCGGCUUAUCAGCUUGUUGGUGGGGGAGUGGCUUACCCAGGCUUUGACGGGUAGCCGGCCUGGGAGGGUGACCGGCCACAUUGGGACUGCGGUACGGCCCAGACUCCUACGGGAGGCAGCAGUGGGGAAUAUUGCACAAUGGGCGGAAGCCUGAUGCAGCAACGCCGCGUGCGGGAUGACGGCCUUCGGGUUGUAAACCGCUUUCGCCUGUGACGAAGCGUGAGUGACGGUAAUGGGUAAAGAAGCACCGGCUAACUACGUG
rnacentral:rRNA from 1 species